rnacentral:rRNA from 1 species
GAUGAACGCUAGCGACAGGCUUAACACAUGCAAGUCGCGGGGCAGCAUGGGGGUUGCUUGCAACCCCUGAUGGCGACCGGCGCACGGGUGAGUAACGCGUAUCCAACCUGCCCUUCACCACGGGAUAACCCGGCGAAAGUCGGACUAAUACCGUAUGUUGUCCCUUGACGGCACCCGAUAUGGUCGAACGGCUUGGCGGUGAAAGGAUGGGGAUGCGUCUGAUUAGCUUGGGGGCGGGGUAACGGCCCACCGAGGCUACGGUCGGUAGGGGGUCGGAGAGGAAGGUCCCCCACACUGGAACUGAGACACGGACCACACUCCUACGGGAGGGAGCGGUGAGGAAUAUUGGGCAAUGAGCGUAAGCCUGAACCAGCCGAGUAGCGUGCAGGAGGACGGCCCUAGGGGUUGUAUACUGCUUUUAUGGGGGGGUAAAGUGGCCCACGUGUGGGCUUUUGCAGGUACCGAAUGAAUAAGGACCGGCUAAUUCCGUG